GAGUUUGAUCCUGGCUCAGAACGAACGCUGGCGGCGUGCCUAACGCAUGCAAGUCGAACGUGAUCCAGAGCUUGCUCUGGUGAAAGUGGCGCACGGGUGAGUAACGCGUGGAUAACCUACCCUGGUAUCCGGGAUAACAUUCCGAAAGGGGUGCUAAUACCGGAUAAGCCCACGGGCUCUUUGGAGCUUGCGGGAAAAGGUGGCCUCUAUUUAUAAGCUACUGUGUCAGGAUGGGUCCGCGUACCAUUAGCUAGUUGGCGGUGUAACGGACCACCAAGGCGACGAUGGUUAGCUGGUCUGAGAGGAUGAUCAGCCACACUGGAACUGAGACACGGUCCAGACUCCUACGGGAGGCAGCAGUGGGGAAUUUUGCGCAAUGGGGGAAACCCUGACGCAGCAACGCCGCGUGAGUGAUGAAGGCCUUUGGGUCGUAAAGCUCUGUCAGAGGGGAAGAAAUGAUAUAGUGCUAAUACCACUUUAUCUUGACGGUACCCUCAAAGGAAGCACCGGCUAACUCCGUGCCAGCAGCCGCGGUAAUAC
rnacentral:rRNA from 1 species